CCCUAUCACAACCCAACAAUACUACUGAGUUAUCCUAUACUUUUAUAGGAGUAUUUAUGUCUGAACUAGUAACACAGAAAAACUUUCUCCUACUUGUUAGUGUAAAUCAAAUCGAAUACCUCAUUGAUAAUUAUUCAGCCAGAAUUUAAUGUAACAACCCCUACCUCGAAAACCCUACUAAUCAAACUGUUAAUCUCACACAAGGAUAAGAAGGAAAGAUUUAAAAACCCGGAAGGAACUCGGCAUACACUAGUCCCGCCUGUUUACCAAAAACAUCACCUUUUGACUUAUAUAAAAGGUAACGCCUGCCCAGUGACACCUGUUCAACGGCCGCGGUAUUUUGACCGUGCGAAGGUAGCGUAAUCACUUGUCUUCUAAAUAAAGACCAGUAUGAACGGCGCCACGAGAACUAAACUGUCUCCCCCCUUUAAUCAGUGAAACUGAUCUCCCCGUGCAGAAGCGGGGAUAAACACAUAAGACGAGAAGACCCUGUGGAACUUUAAAUUUAUUGUCACUUAAUACCCUCUUAACCUUAACAAAAACACAAAACUUGAUUUAAAUUUUCAGCUGGGGCGUCUGUGGAGAAAAAAUCACCCUCCACGAAGAAUUAAAUCUGAGAACUACUACUCUAAGAAUUAAUACCCUUAACUCUACUUGACCCAAUUUUAUUGAUCAACGGACCAAGUUACCCCAGGGAUAACAGCGCAAUCCACUUCUAGAGUCCAUAUCGACAAGUGGGCUUAC
rnacentral:rRNA from 1 species